GAUGAACGCUGGCUACAGGCUUAACACAUGCAAGUCGAGGGGAAACGACGGGGAAGCUUGCUUCCCCGGGCGUCGACCGGCGCACGGGUGAGUAACGCGUAUCCAACCUGCCUCUGACUGAGGGAUAACCCGUCGAAAGUCGGCCUAAUACCUCAUGGUAUCGUCUGCGGGCAUCCAACGACGAUUAAAGAUUUCAUCGGUCAGGGAUGGGGAUGCGUCUGAUUAGCUUGUUGGCGGGGUAACGGCCCACCAAGGCUACGAUCAGUAGGGGUUCUGAGAGGAAGGUCCCCCACAUUGGAACUGAGAAACGGUCCAAACGCCUACGGGAGGCAGCAGUGAGGAAUAUUGGUCAAUGGGCGAGAGCCUGAACCAGCCAAGUAGCGUGAAGGAAGACGGCCCUAUGGGUUGUAAACUGCUUUGAUGCGGGGAUAAAGUGAGGGACGUGUCCCUCAUUGCGGGUACCGCAUGAAUAAGAACCGGCUAUUCCCG
rnacentral:rRNA from 1 species